rnacentral:rRNA from 1 species
UGCGCAAGUCAUUAGGAUUAACUAAACCUAAAGGCGAAAUGAAAGUAAAUGGUUACAUUUUGUGACCAUAGGGCAGAUGUAUAUUGGUAAGCCAAUGUACCGCAUGCCUGGGGCGUCCCGUUCUCAUUGCGAGAUGGGGCGCACCUAGAGCGUACACGCUGGGACCCGAAAGAUGGUGAACUAUGCCUGGUCAGGACGAAGUCAGGGGAAACCCUGAUGGAGGUCCGUAGCGAUUCUGACGUGCAAAUCGAUCGUCAGAACUGGGUAUAGGGGCGAAAGACUAAUCGAACCAUCUAGUAGCUGGUUCCCUCCGAAGUUUCCCUCAGGAUAGCUGGCGCUCAUUGUGUGCGAGUCUCAUCCGGUAAAGCGAAUGAUUAGAGGCAUUGGGGUCGAAACGGCCUCAACCUAUUCUCAAACUUUAAAUGGGUGAGAUCUUCGGCUUUUUUGAAUUAUAAAGCCGCAAGAUUUCGGAUCAGAGUGCCAAGUGGGCCACUUUUGGUAAGCAGAACUGGCGCUGUGGGAUGAACCAAACGACGAGUUAAAGCGCCUAAAUCGAUGCUUAUGGGACACCAUGAAAGGCGUUG